AGAAUCAACGCUGGCGGCGUGCCUAACACAUGCAAGUCGAACGAGAAAGUGGAGCAAUCCAUUAGUAAAGUGGCGCACGGGUGAGUAACACGUGACUAACCUACCCUUGAGUGGGGGAUAACCUAGAGAAAUCUGGGCUAAUACCGCAUAAUACCUUCGGGUCAAAGGAGCAAUUCGCUUAAGGAGGGGGUCGCGGCCGAUUAGUUAGUUGGCGGGGUAAUGGCCCACCAAGACUAUGAUCGGUAUCCGGCCUGAGAGGGCGCACGGACACACUGGAACUGAAACACGGUCCAGACUCCUACGGGAGGCAGCAGUGGGGAAUUUUGCGCAAUGGGGGAAACCCUGACGCAGCAACGCCGCGUGGAGGAUGAAGCCCCUUGGGGCGUAAACUCCUUUCGAUCGGGACGAUAAUGACGGUACCGAGAGAAGAAGCCCCGGCUAACGUUCGUGCCAGCACGCCGC
rnacentral:rRNA from 1 species